rnacentral:rRNA from 1 species
AUGAGUUAAGUAUAAACCCCUUAACAAGUAUCAAUUGGAGGGCAAGUCUGGUGCCAGCAGCCGCGGUAAUUCCAGCUCCAAUAGCGUAUAUUAAAGUUGUUGCAGUUAAAAAGCUCGUAGUUGGAUUUCUGUUAAUACUUGCAUGUGCUAUCUUCGAUACGCGUGCGAUAUUAGCAUCAUCCGCGUCACCUUCGGUGUGCGGAACUUUACUUUGAGAAAAUUAGAGUGCUUAAAGCAGGCUUUUGCCUUGAAUACUCCAGCAUGGAAUAAUAUGAAGGAUUUUUAUCUUUCUUAUUGGUUCUAAGAUAAAAAUAAUGGUUAAUAGGGACAGUUGGGGGCAUUUGUAUUUAACAGUCAGAGGUGAAAUUCUUAGAUUUGUUAAAGACAAACUAGUGCGAAAGCAUUUGCCAAGGAUGUUCUCAUUAAUCAAGAACGAAAGUUAGGGGAUCGAAGACGAUCAGAUACCGUCGUAGU